CCUACGGGUGGCAGCAGUGGGGAAUAUUGGACAAUGGGGGGAACCCUGAUCCAGCCAUGCCGCGUGUGUGAAGAAGGCCCUCGGGUUGUAAAGCACUUUCAGUGAGGAAGAACGCCUGGUGGUUAAUACCCAUCAGGAAAGACAUCACUCACAGAAGAAGCACCGGCUAACUCCGUGCCAGCAGCCGCGGUAAUACGGAGGGUGCGAGCGUUAAUCGGAAUUACUGGGCGUAAAGCGCGCGUAGGUGGCUUGAUAAGCCGGUUGUGAAAGCCCCGGGCUCAACCUGGGAACGGCAUCCGGAACUGUCAAGCUAGAGUGCAGGAGAGGAAGGUAGAAUUCCCGGUGUAGCGGUGAAAUGCGUAGAGAUCGGGAGGAAUACCAGUGGCGAAGGCGGCCUUCUGGACUGACACUGACACUGAGGUGCGAAAGCGUGGGUAGCAAACAGGAUUAGAUACCCCUGUAGUU
rnacentral:rRNA from 1 species